GACAGUUCGGUCCCUAUCUGCCAUGGGCGUAGGAAAAUUGAGAGGGUUUGCUUCUAGUACGAGAGGACCGAAGUGAACGCACCGCUGGUGUUCGGGUUGUGAUGCCAAUUGCAUUGCCCGGUAGCUACGUGCGGAAUAGAUAAGUGCUGAAAGCAUCUAAGUACGAAACUAGCCUCGAGAUGAGUUUUCCCUGAAGAGAUUCAGUAAGGUCCGUUUGAGACUAAGACGUAGAUAGGUCAGGUGUGUAAGUGUAGUGAUACAUUGAGCUAACUGAUACUAAUGAACCGAGAGUCUUAACCUUACAACUC
rnacentral:rRNA from 1 species